AGAGUUUGAUCAUGGCUCAGGAUGAACGCUGGCGGCGUGCUUAACACAUGCAAGUCGAACGAAGCACUUUAUUUGAUUUCUUCGGAAUGAAGAUUUUGUGACUGAGUGGCGGACGGGUGAGUAACGCGUGGGUAACCUGCCUCAUACAGGGGGAUAACAGUUGGAAACGACUGCUAAUACCGCAUAAGCGCACAGGGUCGCAUGACCUGGUGUGAAAAACUCCGGUGGUAUGAGAUGGACCCGCGUCUGAUUAGCCAGUUGGUGGGGUAACGGCCUACCAAAGCGACGAUCAGUAGCCGACCUGAGAGGGUGACCGGCCACAUUGGGACUGAGACACGGCCCAAACUCCUACGGGAGGCAGCAGUGGGGAAUAUUGCACAAUGGGGGAAACCCUGAUGCAGCGACGCCGCGUGAGCGGAGAAGUAUUUCGGUAUGUAAAGCUCUAUCAGCGGGGAAGAAGAAAUGACGGUACCUGACUAAGAAGCACCGGCUAAAUACGUGCCAGCAGCCGCGGUAAUACGUAUGGUGCAAGCGUUAUCCGGAUUUACUGGGUGUAAAGGGAGCGCAGGCGGUACGGCAAGUCUGAUGUGAAAGCCCGGGGCUCAACCCCGGUACUGCAUUGGAAACUGUCGGACUAGAGUGUCGGAGGGGUAAGUGGAAUUCCUAGUGUAGCGGUGAAAUGCGUAGAUAUUAGGAGGAACACCAGUGGCGAAGGCGGCUUACUGGACGAUUACCGACGCUGAGGCUCGAAAGUGUGGGGAGCAAACAGGAUUAGAUACCCUGGUAGUCCACACUGUAAACGAUGAUUGCUAGGUGUGGGGGGUCUGACCCCUUCCGUGCCGGAGCUAACGCAAUAAGCAAUCCACCUGGGGAGUACGACCGCAAGGUUGAAACUCAAAGGAAUUGACGGGGACCCGCACAAGCAGUGGAUUAUGUGGUUUAAUUCGAAGCAACGCGAAGAACCUUACCAGCACUUGACAUCCAACUAACGAAAUAGAGAUAUAUUAGGUGCCCUUCGGGGAAAGUUGAGACAGGUGGUGCAUGGUUGUCGUCAGCUCGUGUCGUGAGAUGUUGGGUUAAGUCCCGCAACGAGCGCAACCCUCGCCAUUAGUUGCUACGCAAGAGCACUCUAAUGGGACCGCUACCGACAAGGUGGAGGAAGGUGGGGACGACGUCAAAUCAUCAUGCCCCUUAUGUGCUGGGCUACACACGUAAUACAAUGGCCAUCAACAGAGAGAAGCAGUACCGCGAGGUGGAGCAAAACUUCAAAAAUGGUCUCAGUUCGGACUGCAGGCUGCAACCCGCCUGCACGAAGUUGGAAUUGCUAGUAAUCGUGGAUCAGCAUGCCACGGUGAAUACGUUCCCGGGUCUUGUACACACCGCCCGUCACACCAUGGGAGCCGGUAACACCCGAAGUCAGUAGUCUAACCGCAAGGAGGACGCUGCCGAAGGUGGGAUUGGCGACUGGGGUGAAGUCGUAACAAGGUA
rnacentral:rRNA from 1 species